AGGAAUUAAUUGAGAAGCUUGGA
rnacentral:piRNA from 1 species